rnacentral:rRNA from 1 species
UGGGGAAUCUUGGACAAUGGGCGCAAGCCUGAUCCAGCCAUGCCGCGUGAGUGAUGAAGGCCUUAGGGUUGUAAAGCUCUUUUUGCCGGGGACGAUAAUGACGGUACCCGGAGAAUAAGUCCCGGCUAACUUCGUGCCAGCAGCCGCGGUAAUACGAAGGGGACUAGCGUUGUUCGGAAUCACUGGGCGUAAAGCGCACGUAGGCGGAUUUGUAAGUCAGGGGUGAAAUCCCGGGGCUCAACCUCGGAACUGCCUUUGAUACUGCGAAUCUCGAGUCCGAUAGAGGUGAGUGGAAUUCCCAGUGUAGAGGUGAAAUUCGUAGAUAUUAGGAAGAACACCGGUGGCGAAGGCGGCUCACUGGAUCGGUACUGACGCUGAGGUGCGAAAGCGUGGGGAGCAAACAGGAUUAGAUACCCCAGUAGUCCCUGAGCGGGCUGGCAAGGCGCAU